rnacentral:ncRNA from 1 species
CACCGCCCGUCACACUAUAGGAGCUGGCCAUGUUUGAAGUCAUUACCCUUAACCGUAAGGAGGGGGAUGCUAAGGGCUAGGUUUGCGACGGGAUUGAAGUCGUAACAAGGUAGCCGUACUGGAAGGUGCGGCUG